rnacentral:rRNA from 1 species
AAAGGGCGCGUAGGCGGUUUGACAAGUUGGAUGUGAAAGCCCAGGGCUCAACCCUGGAAUUGCAUUCAAGACUGUCUCACUUGAAUUCGGUAGAGGUUGGUGGAAUUCCCAGUGUAGAGGUGAAAUUCGUAGAGAUUGGGAAGAACACCCGUGGCGAAGGCGGCCAACUGGACCGACAUUGACGCUGAGGCGCGAAAGCGUGGGGAUCAAACAGGAUUAGAUACCCGUGU